CCUACGGGUGGCAGCAGUGGUGAAUAUUGCACAAUGGGGGAAACCCUGAUGCAGCGACGCCGCGUGAGUGAAGAAGUAAUUCGUUACGUAAAGCUCUAUCAGCAGGGAAGAAACACUGACCUUACGGUCAGCAGACGGUACCUGAAGAAAAAGCAUCGGCUAACUCCGUGCCAGCAGCCGCGGUAAUACGGAGGAUGCGAGCGUUAUCCGGAUUUAUUGGGUUUAAAGGGUGCGUAGGCGGAAUGCCAAGUCAGCGGUAAAAUCGCGGGGCUCAACCUCGCUCCGCCGUUGAUACUGGCGUGCUGGAGUGGGCGAGAAGUAUGCGGAAUGCGUGGUGUAGCGGUGAAAUGCAUAGAUAUCACGCAGAACUCCGAUUGCGAAGGCAGCAUACCGGCGCCCAACUGACGCUGAAGCACGAAAGCGUGGGUAUCGAACAGGAUUAGAUACCCGAGUAGUC
rnacentral:rRNA from 1 species